GAAAACCAUUAAGGAAAUGCAUCUUCUGGCUCUGCAAAAGUGUGCAGUGUGCUAUUCUCCUGGAGUCUAAGGCAGACUCUGGCAAUGAUUUAUGAAGGAAGGAUCUAGGAGAGGAAUGCUGCUACCACUUUAGAUGGCCAGGCUACCUGGGUAAUUG
rnacentral:lncRNA from 12 species